rnacentral:rRNA from 1 species
GACGAACGCUGGCGGCGUGCUUAACACAUGCAAGUCGAACGGAAAGGCCCUGCUUUUGUGGGGUGCUCGAGUGGCGAACGGGUGAGUAACACGUGAGUAACCUGCCCUUGACUUUGGUAUAACUUCAGGAAACUGGGGCUAAUACCGGAUAGGAGCUCCUGCUGCAUGGUGGGUGUUGGAAAGUUUCGGCGGUUGGGGAUGGACUCGCGGCUUAUCAGCUUGUUGGUGGGGUAGUGGCUUACCAAGGCUUUGACGGGUAGCCGGCCUGAGAGGGUGACCGGACACAUUGGGACUGAGAUACGGCCAAGACUCCUACGGGAGGCAGCAGUGGGGAAUAUUGCACAAUGGGCGGAAGCCUGAUGCAGCAACGCAGCGUGCGGGAUGACGGCCUUAGGGUUGUAAACCGCUUUCGCCUGUGACGAAGCGUGAGUGACGGUAAUGGGUAAAGAAGCACCGGCUAACUACGUG